rnacentral:rRNA from 1 species
UACGUAGGGGGCGAGCGUUGUCCGGAGUUACUGGGCGGAAAGGGCGCGCAGGCGGUCUGGCAAGUUUGGAGUGACAGUGCUCGGCUUAACUGAGCAAGGCCUUCGAAAACUGCUAGACUUGAGCACUCAAGAGGGACAUAGAAUUCCGGGUGGAGUGGUGAAAUGCGUAGAUAUCCGGAGGAAUACCAAAGGCGAAGGCAGUGUCCUGGGGAGUGUCUGACGCUCAGGCGCGAAAGCUAGGGGAGCGAACAGG